AUUUAUAUAGUUUAACAAAAACAAUUCAUUUUCAAUGAAAAAUUAGAUUUAAUCUUAUAAAUA
rnacentral:tRNA from 1 species